rnacentral:rRNA from 1 species
UACCAGACUCCUACGGGAGGCAGCAGUGGGGAAUAUUGCACAAUGGGGGAAACCCUGAUGCAGCGACGCCGCGUGAGUGAAGAAGCGUUUCGGCGCGUAAAGCUCUGUCAGCGGGGAAGAAACACGGUUCGCGAGAGCCGCGGACGGUACCCGACCAAGAAGCCCCGGCUAACUACGUGCCAGCAGCCGCGGUAAUACGUAGGGGGCAAGCGUUAUCCGGAUUUACUGGGUGUAAAGGGAGCGUAGACGGUUAUGCAAGUCUGGAGUGAAAGGCGGGGGCUCAACCCCCGGACUGCUCUGGAAACUGUAGAACUAGAGUGCAGGAGGGGUAAGUGGAAUUCCUAGUGUAGCGGUGAAAUGCGUAGAUAUUAGGAGGAACACCAGUGGCGAAGGCGGCUUACUGGACUGUAACUGACGUUGAGGCUCGAAAGCGUGGGGAGCAAACAGGAUUAGAUACCCUCGUA